AGUGGUUAAGAGCUCGGCUGCUAACCAAAAGGUCGGUGGUUCAAAUCCACCAGCCACUC
rnacentral:tRNA from 1 species